rnacentral:rRNA from 1 species
UCCAGACUCCUACGGGAGGCAGCAGUGGGGGAUAUUGCACAAUGGGGGGAACCCUGAUGCAGCGACGCCGCGUGGGUGAAGGAGUAUUUCGGUAUGUAAAGCCCUAUCGGCAGGGAAGAAGCAAGACGGUACCUGACUAAGAAGCCCCGGCUAACUACGUGCCAGCAGCCGCGGUAAUACGUAGGGGGCGAGCGUUAUCCGGAUUCACUGGGGGUAAAGGGAGCGUAGACGGCCAUGCAAGCCAGGGGUGAAAGACCGGGGGCCAGCCCCGGGACUGCCCUUGGAACUGUGCGGCUAGAGUGCGGGAGGGGCAGGCGGAAUUCUUGGUGUAGCGGUGAAAUGCGUAGAUAUUAGGAGGAACACCAGUGGCGAAGGCGGCUUACUGGACUGUAACUGACGUUGAGGCUCGAAAGCGUGGGGAGCAAACAGGAUUAGAGACCCUGGUACAC